CCUACGGGAGGCAGCAGUAGGGAAUCUUCCGCAAUGGACGAAAGUCUGACGGAGCAACGCCGCGUGAGCGAUGAAGGUCUUCGGAUCGUAAAGCUCUGUUGUCAGGGAAGAACAAGUGCAAGAGUAACUGCUUGCACCUUGACGGUACCUGACCAGAAAGCCACGGCUAACUACGUGCCAGCAGCCGCGGUAAU
rnacentral:rRNA from 1 species